rfam:Triticum aestivum genome assembly, contig: Triticum_aestivum_CS42_TGACv1_scaffold_224547_3B
CUACUACUCCCUCCGUCCAAAAAUACUUGUCAUUGAAAUGGAUGUAUCUAGAUGUAUUUUAGUUCUAGACACAUCCAUUUUGAUGACAAGUAAUUCUGGACGGAGGGAGUAUUAU